CUUGGGACUCCAGACAAAGACUCUUCCUCAUUUAUUUCCAAAACUACAGCGUUGGUGCUCAGGAGCUGAAAGGCAUCCCAGACUGGAGGAUGCAAUGUGCUUCCAGAUGUCACUGCUACUGUCUUGGUUUCCAAGGUCUGUUAUCUUUGUCAAACAAGAGCUUCCCCUGUGGAUAGUCCCAACAAAGAACCCAAAUUCCAAGAAGUGGAGCAAAUGUUUUCUGAAGCACUGCUAGCCCAGGACAGCUCAAAACCCACAUGUACAAAGACGAGAAAAUACACGUCUAUUUUGAAAUAUACCACGUCACAGAUGUAGCCAGAGAAGAAUGAUGUGAAGGUGGAGAGGAUGCUGAAAGGAAAGGCUGAGAUAUCAACCCAGCAAUGCUGGGAUCUUCCCACUGCUUGGAAAAUGGGGUCAGUAUAGAAGAGCUCCCAUUACCUAUGGAGAAAUGAGGCACAGAACAAGGUUUCAGCCUUCCCAACAUCUCUGGGCAUCUGGAGCAGCAUUAAGAGUACAGUAAAGGGAUCUCUACUCCAGAGUGAUGUCCCAAACCUUGUUUUCCCCACCCAUUAGAAGCUGUGAUCACAGCCUCUGAAAAUUCCCUGUGGCCAGCCUAGGAAUUAUCAACCUUUUCCAGAGCCCUAUUACCAAAUGGCUUUAAAAAUGCAGCUAUCUUUUAAUUUUGCAUUUGCUAUAAAAUGUAUAAAUCAUACAGCUGCAAUUUUUUUGGCUUUGUAGCAUAAUUAAUUCCAUAGAUGUUUAAAAUCCAUGCUUGUGCCAAUCAUUGAUUGUCAAAAAAGAAAGAAAAGCAGGCUAGUUUGGAUAUCUAAAUAGUUCUCCCUCAUAAAAAAAAAGAGCCCUUAAAAACAGCCUUCAAGACCUACCUGAUUUAAUUAUCUAGUAAAUUUUCCUUUUUUUCCAGAUAAAAUUAGCAAUGAGCCUAUCGAUUUUUUGUGUAGCUGGAAAUGCAUAGGUAGAGCUAAAAUAAGGGUAAAUAAAACAUGAUGGACUCUCAGGGUUAGAGAAGGAAAGUGUUUAUAAAUGCAGAAGUCCAGGAGCAGAACAGAACCUGUGCAGGUUCAGGCAGGAGGCCAAGGAGGCGACUGCACACCGUGAGCUGCUGCUCCUGUCAAAAAUCUCCAGGAACUGAGUCUGAGCUUUCUUAAGCAGCACCUUCCACCAGGAUCUGUGCAGUUAGAGUCAUCAUUUAUAUCACAGGAAUUUCCCUAAAUAGCAUCUUGAUCCUGCCUCUGCAAGCAGAGGGACCAGGUGUGCACGGGCAGUUUAGGAAAAUUGGGUGACACAAGGAAAUGCUGUUGGUUUAAGUGAUCUUUGAUCAGUGGCAUUCAUGGAAACAUCUGGGGUUUUUUUUGUCCUUAAUGCCAGGAGGUGUUUUAGUAGUUUUAGCACUCAAGUAGUUUUAAAAUCAGUGGAGUGAGUCCAAGAAAAUCAAUAUGAAAAGGAAACUCUUCCAAGUUCAUUGUAGAAUUUACAAAAGAUGGAAGGCAAAACGAUCCAAAUCUCAACAAGGGCUGGGACUCCUGUGCUCCCCUGCACCAUCACCUAUUCCUUCCUCCUGGGGAAGGGGACAGGUCACCUCUCUUUCCUCUCAUCCUCAGCUAUCCCACCUUCAAGGCUGAUUUAAGAAAUUAGAUGACCUGCACCAGUGCAGUUGCAUUCAGGCUGAUCAUACUGACUGAAGUCAGUCAGUCCCAACCUACACCAAAAGCAACAGCUACACAGUGUAACAAAUCAAACCUUAAAAUUGUAUAGCCAUUGAAAUGUGCAUGUGUAUGUAUUUAAAAACUGUAAGCUCCCUCCAAGCUGACAGGAGAGCUGACUGUAGCUCUCGUGGAUCAAUGUUGCCUUGACCUUCACGUGUCACGUUUUUGAUGCUGACACGUUUUUCACAGAAUCAGAAAAGCCCCUGCUCCUGCAGAGGAAUUUCCUCUAUCUCAGUGAUGCAGCCUGCAUGGCAUUUAACCUUCAGCUCUGAUUUAAAUGGGGUGUGCAUGCCUGCUCCUGGGCUGCUGGGCCAGGGAUAAUUUCCACCUCUCCAAAGGGGCUCUGAAGGACAGAUCCUGCAUGGAAAGAGCUGCAGAGUCAGUGCACAAAGAGCAGCACAGGCUGUAAUGCAGGGAGAUUGUAAAUUUGGUAAAUGAAUGCGAUGUUAGAGUCCCAUAAUGAAAUAAAUCCCCUCUUCUUACGUUCAGCAAGAAUGCCAGCAGCUGGAAUUACGUGGCUUAGUUGGUGUUGUGGGAUAUGAGAACACAGGACUGUGAACCAAGCUCUCAGCACUGAGUGCAUCACUUCUCUGCUUGCCUGUUCUGGCUUAGGGCAAGUUUGGGAGAGAACAUCAGAAUGGGGACCCUCCAGAAGGCAAAUUCAAGUGGUCCCUCCUCCCCCAACUGGUUUGGGAGAAGAUUUCCUUGGAGAAAAGUGGAAAACACUGUUUAUUUAACAAGCAAAAUAUUUACAAGAUUAAAAAAUGAAUAAUAUUAAACAAUAAAACCUCCUGCUGUUUGAAGAGACAGCAAAUCCAGGAAAGUCCUUGUUGUGGGUAGCUAAGCUCACUCAGACUCUUAUCCAGUGUUAUCUGGAACUGGAAAGUGCCGAGCCCAGGCUCUGGUGGGCCACAGGUGUGAGCUCCUGGGGUUUGGCUGGGUUUUCAGUCCAGAGCAGGUUUGAACAGAUCCA